AUUGAACGCUGGCGGCAUGCCUUACACAUGCAAGUCGAACGGCAGCACGGGUGCUUGCACCUGGUGGCGAGUGGCGAACGGGUGAGUAAUACAUCGGAACAUGUCCUGUAGCGGGGGAUAGCCCGGCGAAAGCCGGAUUAAUACCGCAUACGAUCUACGGAUGAAAGCGGGGGACCUUCGGGCCUCGCGCUAUAGGGUUGGCCGAUAGCUGAUUAGCUAGUUGGUGGGGUAAAGGCCUACCAAGGCGACGAUCAGUAGCUGGUCUGAGAGGACGACCAGCCACACUGGGACUGAGACACGGCCCAGACUCCUACGGGAGGCAGCAGUGGGGAAUUUUGGACAAUGGGCGAAAGCCUGAUCCAGCAAUGCCGCGUGUGUGAAGAAGGCCUUCGGGUUGUAAAGCACUUUUGUCCGGAAAGAAAUCCUUGGCUCUAAUACAGUCGGGGGAUGACGGUACCGGAAGAAUAAGCACCGGCUAACUACGUG
rnacentral:rRNA from 1 species